rnacentral:tRNA from 1 species
GCGCGCGUAGCUCAAUGGCAGAGCAUUCGUCUGAUAAGCGAAAGGUUGUAGGUCCGAUUCCUACCGCGCGCA